GUGUCAGCCGCCGCGGUAAUACAGAGGGUGCAAGCGUUAAUCGGAAUUACUGGGCGUAAAGCGCGCGUAGGUGGUUCGUUAAGUUGGAUGUGAAAUCCCCGGGCUCAACCUGGGAACUGCAUUCAAAACUGACGAGCUAGAGUAUGGUAGAGGGUGGUGGAAUUUCCUGUGUAGCGGUGAAAUGCGUAGAUAUAGGAAGGAACACCAGUGGCGAAGGCGACCACCUGGACUGAUACUGACACUGAGGUGCGAAAGCGUGGGGAGCAAACAGGAUUAGAAACCCCCGUAGUCC
rnacentral:rRNA from 1 species